UAUAUUAUAGACUAAUAGGUAAGUUAUAAAUUUUUGAUAUUUACCGAUAAGUGUUCGAAUCACUUUAAUAUAA